UACGAAGGGGGCUAGCGUUGCUCGGAAUCACUGGGCGUAAAGCGCACGUAGGCGGAUCUUUAAGUCAGGGGUGAAAUCCUGGAGCUCAACUCCAGAACUGCCUUUGGUACUGGGGAUCUCGAGUACGGAAGAGGUGAGUGGAACUCCGAGUGUAGAGGUGAAAUUCGUAGAUAUUCGGAAGAACACCAGUGGCGAAGGCGGCUCACUGGUCCGGUACUGACGCUGAGGUGCGAAAGCGUGGGGAGCAAACAGG
rnacentral:rRNA from 1 species